AUCAGUUCUUUUGAGGGCAGGGCGGAAGGAAGGAGAAGACAAUACCCCUAGAGAAGAGGAAUGUGGUGUGAAGAGGGGGGAAAAUACAACCACUACCAAUGGACAGGGUGAAAAAAAAUGGGAAAUUAAAAGAGCAGGGGAAAGAGGAUGUCAAAGAUGCACACCUCGACUUCCCCGUAUUCAAGCGGUCCCUGCGACUACAACCUAGUGCAGCGUUGGACCCCAUUCUGCAAACCCUUUGGGCUGGGAACUUCCCCUGAAGUCAACAGGGCUUUCCGCUCCCUGGCCAUCGCUAAACUGGGCCCUAAGCAUGCACAACGUGCUCAUCAUCAUUGCAUGUGUUAAUUAUGCUGUUUAGUCAGAUCAUAUUACAAAUAAAACAACUGGAGUUGAGGAAAACUUGA